AUACUUACCUGGCAGGGGAAACACCAUGAUCAGGAAGGUGGUUUUCCCAGGGCGAGGUUCACCCAUUGCACUGCGGGUGUGCUGACCUCUGCGAUUUCCCCAAAUGUGGGAAACUCGACUGCGUAAUUUGUGGUAGUGGGGGACUGCGUUCGCGCUCUCCUCUG
rnacentral:snRNA from 2 species